rnacentral:rRNA from 1 species
AUUGAACGCUGGCGGCAUGCCUUACACAUGCAAGUCGAACGGUAACAGGUCUUCGGAUGCUGACGAGUGGCGAACGGGUGAGUAAUACAUCGGAACGUGUCUAGUAGUGGGGGAUAACUACUCGAAAGAGUGGCUAAUACCGCAUGAGAUCUACGGAUGAAAGCAGGGGAUCGCAAGACCUUGUGCUACUAGAGCGGCCGAUGGCAGAUUAGGUAGUUGGUGGGAUAAAAGCUUACCAAGCCGACGAUCUGUAGCUGGUCUAAAAGGACGAUCAGCCACACUGGGACUGAGACAGUGCCCAGACUCCUACGGGAGGCAGUAGUGGGGAAUUUUGGACAAUGGGCGAAAGCCUGAUCCAGCAAUGCGGAGUGCAGGAUGAAGGCCUUCGGGUUGUAAACUGCUUUUGUACGGAACGAAAAGCCCCGGGUUAAUACCCUGGGGUCAUGACGGUACCGUAAGAAUAAGCACCGGCUAACUACGUGCCAGCCGCCGCCGUAA